rnacentral:rRNA from 1 species
GACAGAGGGCGCAAGCGUUGUUCGGAAUUACUGGGCGUAAAGCGCGCGUAGGCGGAUCUGUUUGUCCGUAAGUGAAAUCCCGCCGCUCAACGGCAGGGCUGCUUGGGAAACGGCAGGUCUGGGGACCGGUAGAGGUCGGUAGAAUUCCCGGUGUAGCGGUGGAAUGCGUAGAGAUCGGGAAGAAUACCCGUGGCGAAGGCAGCCGACUGGGCCGGAUCCGACGCUGAUGCGCGAAAGCGUGGGGAGCAAACAGG